rnacentral:misc_RNA from 1 species
AAAGUGCGAUAAGCACUGUGAAUUGCAGAAUUCAGCGAAUCAGUAGAUCUCUUAACGCAAAUGGUGCUAGGUGAACUUGUUCACUUGGCAGGCAUACUUCAGCGUUGCAUUUAUAUAUUGCACUCAUCCUGCAUUUUUGUGGCUUUUGCCAACGAAUGGUUCGCUAAGUCAAACUGGCGAAUGGGAAUUGCUCAACAUUAUUAACUCGUUUUAAGAAUGCUAGAGCAAGCUUGUUUUGUUUGUUGUUGAGUUUGUUCAACAUUACAAACAUUACAACAACAUUAACCAACCUGAAGUAUGUCAGAUUACCCGCUGAACUUAA